UUCUGAUUCACCUUCCGUCGAUCACCGUCUUGGAGAAAAUGUCAGCUUAUUUGUGGAAAAGCUUCGACGAGGAUGAAGAUCGACCCGAGAAGCCGCGGCGAUGUGGAGUUACAGAGAUGAGAGGCCCUCAUUAUACUCUUUCGAGCCAAAAUGUUAUUCAGGAAAUUUUCGAGUCUGUGGGUCAAUUUGUCGAUGGGUUAAAGUUCUCCGGGGGUUCUCACAGCCUAUUGCCGAGGGAUUUUAUGAAAGAGGUGACGGAAAUGGCUCAUCGACAUGACAUCUAUGUCAGUACGGGUGACUGGGCGGAGCAUUUACUACGCAAAGGUCCAUCUGGUUUCAAAGAGUAUGUGGAGGAAUGUAAGCUCUUAGGAUUUGACACUGUUGAGCUCAACGUGGGAUCACUUGAAGUUCCUGAAGAAACUCUUCUGAGAUACGUGCGUUUGAUUAAGAACGGUGGCCUUAGGGCUAAGCCUCAGUUCGCAGUGAAGUUCAACAAGUCCGACAUUCCCAUCAGUGGCAAUCGAG
rnacentral:misc_RNA from 1 species